rnacentral:rRNA from 1 species
GCCANUGACCUGUUCACGGCCGCGGUAUUCUGACCGUGCUAAGGUAGCGCAAUCACUUGUCUUUUAAUGAAGACCUGUAUGAAAGGAAUGACNAGGGCUUAACUGUCUCCUUUUCCCANUCAAUGAAAUUGAUCUCCCCGUGCAGAAGCGGGGAUAACAACACNAGACGAGAAGACCCUGUGGAGCUUGAGACACCAAUGCGGCUCAUGUUAAAACCCCCACCCCCGGAUAAAACUUAAUGAACCCCGCCUACUUGUCUUCGGUUGGGGCGACCCUGGGGCAUACAAAACCCCCAUGUGGAUAAGGAGCAUUAAAGGAAGUUCCCUAGAACCCCACACCCNUCUUAAAAACUAGAGCCCCUGCUNUAGUUAACGAGACUCUCGACUUAUAAUGAUCCGGCAAAACCGAUCAACGAACCUAGUUACCCCAGGGAUAACAGCGNUAUCCCCUUCCAGAGCCCAUAUCGCCAAGGGGGUUUACGACCUCGAUGUUGGAUCAGGACAUCCUAAUGGUGCAGCCGCUAUUAAGGUUCGUUUGUCAACGA